rnacentral:rRNA from 1 species
AUGUCGAGGGCGCCGCCGCAGGAAGACCCGUCGCCGACAGGAGUCGCGGUGUCUCCGGAGGUCGAGGCCGCGCUCGCGAGCGGCGGGGCGGUCGUCGCCCUCGAGUCCACCAUCAUCUGCCACGGUAUGCCUUAUCCGAAGAAUCUCCAGACGGCAAUGGAGGUGGAGGCCAUCGUCAGGGAGAACGGCGCUGUUCCUGCCACUAUAGCCAUUCUGGAUGGUGUGCCACAUGUUGGGCUUAACAGUGAACAGCUGAAGAACUUGGCUAUAAGCGGAAGUCAGUUUCAGAAGACAGCUAGAAGAGAUAUCGCACAAGUUGUUGCUUCGGGUGGCAAUGGUGCUACGACAGUCUCUGCCACCAUGUUUUUUGCUCAUAAGGUUGGUAUACCAAUUUUUGUGACUGGGGGAAUUGGAGGCGUACACAGAUACGGUGAAAAAACCAUGGACAUCUCAUCUGACUUAACUGAACUUGGAAAGACUCCUGUGGCUGUUAUUUCAGCCGGUGUGAAGUCCAUUUUGGAUAUCGCACGGACACUAGAGUACUUGGAAACUCAAGGGGUAACUGUUGCUGCUUACAGGACCAACGAAUUUCCAGCUUUCUUCACAGAAACCAGUGGAUGUAAGGUGCCAUGCCGCGUUGAUUCUCCAGAAGAGUGUGCGAAAAUAAUAUAUGCAAACCAGAAUAUGCAUCUAGGAUCUGGAAUUCUUAUUGCAGUGCCAGUUCCCAAGCAACAUGCAGCUUCAGGAAAGGUUAUAGAGUCUGCAAUACAGCAAUCCCUCAAGGAAGCAGAGUACAGUCCCAAUUCAUUGCUCUCUUUUCUCUUUCUUGAUAAAAAGAUAAUAGGAAACGCGAUCACCCCCUUCAUCCUUGACAGAGUGAAAGUACUAACUGGAGGAUCUUCAUUGGAAGCCAAUAUUGCACUUGUGAAGAACAAUGCUCUCACUGGUGCUAAAAUUGCUGUAGCCCUUUCUGAUCUUCGCAAGAGAGUAACAAACAGGCCUGUGAGGUCUGCCCUAUAA